GACGAACGCUGGCGGCGUGCUUAACACAUGCAAGUCGAACGAUGAAGCCGGAGCUUGCUCUGGUGAAUUAGUGGCGAACGGGUGAGUAACACGUGAGUAACCUGCCCUUGACUCUGGGAUAACUGCUAGAAAUGGUAGCUAAUACCGGAUACGACCCUCGGCGGCAUCGCCAGGGGGUGGAAAGAAUUUCGGUCAAGGAUGGACUCGCGGCCUAUCAGCUAGUUGGUGAGGUAACGGCUCACCAGGGCGACGACGGGUAGCCGGCCUGAGAGGGUGACCGGCCACACUGGGACUGAGACACGGCCCAGACUCCUACGGGAGGCAGCAGUGGGGAAUAUUGCACAAUGGGCGCAAGCCUGAUGCAGCAACGCCGCGUGAGGGAUGACGGCCUUCGGGUUGUAAACCUCUUUAGUAGGGAAGAAGCGAAAGUGACGGUACCUGCAGAAAAAGCACCGGCUAACUACGUGCCAGCCGCCGCAGUAG
rnacentral:rRNA from 1 species